ensembl:lncRNA
CACUUUUUAUUUUAGCUACAGGUGAUUUUCAGCAGUCUCAGGAUGUUUCUUUAAGGUCCAGCGCAGUCGAGCUUUCUUCUGCUGCUAAGGACAGUUCUGCAGCUUUAUCAGGUGAAAAGGUUCUUGAUUUAACGGUGUUGCAUAGCAUUCCAUCACCAUCUUGCAAGCCAUUUUGCUUUCCUUCCUUUACAGUGUCUUUAGAAGAAGUACGCGUAAGUGUUCCUGUCAGCUCUUCAAGAGAUGUCAGUGAAGGAGCGCUUUCUGUGUCAGCAGGUGUGGUUGCAGAAGAGGAGGGUGUAGAAAAGGAAGUAGAAACAACAGAGAAAGCUACAUCUCCUGCUGUCUCUCCAAAACCAUCAUUUGCUCCAGCUAAACAAGACGAAACACCUGAGAAGAUUAGCUUCCUGAGGGGCAGUAUCAGUGAGAGAGCACCUUCCAAAUCAGCAGAGGUGAAGUCAACUGUCAGAGUGUCUCCUAUACAGACCACCAGGAUUUCCCGUCAAGUGGAGGUUGUCAGUUCUCCCAGUUUUUCUCCAGAUAUAUCACCUGUGUCAGGAAUGGAACAGACACGUGUUACUCGUGUUAUUCCCAGUGGAGCUAGACAGCUGACCCGUCCUGAGAGUGUUCCUCAAAGCCCUCCCAAUCGAGUCUGGACCCUCUAUCAUCUCGCACAUGUGACUGAUGAGGGAACUUUGUCCACCCAAGUUUUAUACCAACCUCCUUUUAAUGGUAGUGCUUACAUUCGAACCUUUGGGCCUGGUCACGUCUUGCUAGCAAAGAGAUCUUCACAGCUUCUUACACCUUCAAUGGAGCCAGUAAGAGGAUGUCUCAGUCCAGGAGGUGGCUUUAGAUCAACGCCUUCACAGUCAGCUUCCACAGACCCAUCUCAUCAGGAGAGGAGCAUUCCAAACUACUUUCUUUCACUAGAGGACAGAAAGUAGAAAGAACACUGGGAUGUCAAGGAUUUGCUGAAUGUGCUGUCAGGGAGAAUGUACUGCAUCUACACUGCUAUCCUGAACAUCAGGAUGUUUCAGUCACCCUGUUCAGGUUGUAUGUUGAAUCUGAAACAUCUAAAUCUGGCUGUAAAGGAACACCUUACGGUGCAGCUUCAUUGAUCUCAUUUAGUAGCGCCACCAAGAGUGGAUUAUCUUCAAGAGGUGGCUCUCCACUCAAUUGAACCAUCAACUGGAAGAAGCUGGGUUGUCUGUAUACUGUUUCAGUUGUGUACCUUUUGAAACUGGUUAGCUUUCGAUCAAACUCAGUACAGAUUCAUUGUUUAAUUAGGUCGCUUUCGCGUGAGAAUUAGGAUUUAGGUCAUAUGCAUUCUUUAAGUUACACUCGUGUAUACUUCAUGAAGUACUGAUUCUGAAAAAGUUCAUAAAAUGGAUAAGGAACACAGCUGUGUGACACUAGGAAAUUAAAUCCAUAAGUUAUUCAAUCUUAAAAAAACAGCGACAAAAUGAAUGAUGCUAACAUGAUGCUAACAUCCUUUUAGUUGUUGAUGGUUCUCCAGCAGUAAAAGUGGCAUCAACCAUGACUCAGCAUUCAGUGUCCUUCACUUGUUCAAUUUCAAGAAGAAGCAGAUAUAUCUUUCCAUGCAAAUUAUGGAUAUUUUCUGUUUGCCUGAACACACAUUCAGUACAGGCUGGUGAUGCUCUCAUGGUGAACACAUCCAUCCUACAAUGCUUGAGCACUGGAAAGGCUACACUGCUUUUCACAGCCCAA